rnacentral:lncRNA from 1 species
UUACACAGUUAGUCCCUGUGGUUUACACUAAAUAACAAUCUAAGGUACUAAGAGUUUAAAAUCACGUUUUAGGGUACUAACUUUUAAUUUUUUAACAAAGUAAGGUAUUAACGUUAAGUUGCUGUUAAAUGCUAACCCUGACACCCUCACGUGCCAUAAACGUGAGGGUAAAUAUGUCAUUUAAAUGAAGGUCUCCUGCUUUAAUUAAACUCUGUUUCAUUCAACAUCAGUCUAUUCAUCUUCACCCCAUAUACUCUGUAAACCCAAAUCGAGUAAACCCUGAUUUCUAGGGUUUUAGCGUUGAGCGAUGGAUCUUUUGAGACAAGAAGAUGAACCAUUUGACUACGUUGGCAAAUACGGUACACAAACAGGAUUAUUUUCUCUGAAGAUACACUACAAUGGGCAAUUUGGAAUCAAAAAUCAAAAUCUUUGCUACAUAACUGGUAAGGUAAUCUAUGUUGAUUUCAUGGAUACGGACAUGUUUUGUAUCCAUGAUGUCAACGAUGCUAUGAGGUUGUUAGGGUUUUCAGAAGAUAAAGUUCAUCAUUUUUAUUUUGUGGUUCCUGGUAGUGAGAUACAUAGUGGUCUUAUGUCUUUAAGCACUGAUGAU